GAUCAUGCUCAGGAUGAACGCUAGCUACAGGCUUAACACAUGCAAGUCGAGGGGCAGCGGGAUUGAAGCUUGCUUCAAUUGCCGGCGACCGGCGCACGGGUGAGUAACGCGUAUCCAACCUUCCGCUUACUCGGGGAUAGCCUUUCGAAAGAAAGAUUAAUACCCGAUGGUAUCUUAAGCACGCAUGAGAUUAAGAUUAAAGAUUUAUCGGUAAGCGAUGGGGAUGCGUUCCAUUAGG
rnacentral:rRNA from 1 species